rnacentral:rRNA from 1 species
UACGUAGGGUGCAAGCGUUAAUCGGAAUUACUGGGCGUAAAGCGUGCGCAGGCGGCUAUGCAAGACAGAUGUGAAAUCCCCGGGCUCAACCUGGGAACUGCCUUUGUGACUGCAUAGCUAGAGUACGGUAGAGGGGGAUGGAAUUCCGCGUGUAGCAGUGAAAUGCGUAGAUAUGCGGAGGAACACCGAUGGCGAAGGCAAUCCCCUGGACCUGUACUGACGCUCAUGCACGAAAGCGUGGGGAGCAAACAGG